UACGGGGGGGGCUAGCGUUAUUCGGAUUGAAUGGGCGUAAAGAGCGUGUAGGCGGCCCGAUAAGUCCGCUGUGAAAUCUCGAGGCUCAACUUCGAGCUGUCGGUGGAAACUGUCUGGCUAGAGUCCGGAAGAGGAGAAUGGAAUUCCUGGUGUAGCGGUGAAAUGCGCAGAUAUCAGGAAGAACACCCGUGGCGAAGGCGGUUCUCUGGGACGGUACUGACGCUGAGGUGCGAAAGCGUGGGGAGCAAACAGG
rnacentral:rRNA from 1 species